GUCAAUUUCUUCACCAGGACAAUCAGAAUCUGGAUGAUAGCUGGGAAAAUAGGAACAGGAAGGGGGCCCGAUCUUUAAGAUCAACUCCCCAUGAUUUUAGGGACUAUCCCAGGAGUGGAAGAUCAGCUGCUCAAUGCACCGAUUUUGUGAAGGGAAGGUGCCAUAGGGGUGCCUCUUGCAAGUAUCCUCACGACAGUGCAUUUCAUGAACUAUCACGAGG
rnacentral:misc_RNA from 1 species